AUUGAACGCUGGCGGCAGGCCUAACACAUGCCAGUCGAGCGGAUGAAGGGAGCUUGCUCCUGGAUUCAGCGGCGGACGGGUGAGUAAUGCCUAGGAAUCUGCCUGGUAGUGGGGGAUAACGUCCGGAAACGGGCGCUAAUACCGCAUGCGUCCUGAGGGAGAAAGUGGGGGAUCUUCGGACCUCACGCUAUCAGAUGAGCCUAGGUCGGAUUAGCUAGUUGGUGGGGUAAAGGCCUACCAAGGCGACGAUCCGUAACUGGUCUGAGAGGAUGAUCAGUCACACUGGAACUGAGACACGGUCCAGACUCCUACGGGAGGCAGCAGUGGGGAAUAUUGGACGAUGGGCGAAAGCCUGAUCCAGCCAUGCCGCGUGUGUGAAGAAGGUCUUCGGAUUGUAAAGCACUUUAAGUUGGGAGGAAGGGCAGUAAGUUAAUACCUUGCUGUUUUGACGUUACCAACAGAAUAAGCACCGGCUAACUUCGUG
rnacentral:rRNA from 1 species